AUUGAAGGAGAGUUUUUGGUGCAGUGAUUAAUGCAUGAAACUUGUCUACUCACACAGCCUGUGUUCACUACGUCUGUUCUUGUCGAAAUGGGCAGUUUCUAAAAUUUUUUAUGAUGACCCCUGUACCCGGGAGAGAAAGAUUAGCGACCUUGAAACGAGAAAGAUCCAUAAUUUAUUACUUGAAAAACAUUCUAAAUUCUGAUCGGUUUGGGUCGGAACGGCUGUUCCAGUCUUUGCGUUACAUUAAAAUCGAGGGCUACCACGACAUUAGAAGAGGAUUUGAUGUACUUUCAAACAUGUUUAAUAAGCUCUCAAGGCGGAUUUUUAAAUAUACAUUUAAUUUUGUUGAACACAC